GGUUCAGGAAGGAAGGCAAGAUGUUGGCAUAGCUGUUGAGUUGAAAACCCUGCUAUGCCGACAAAUUGCCAUCUUUCUCU
rfam:Oreochromis niloticus linkage group LG3, whole genome shotgun sequence.